rnacentral:lncRNA from 1 species
GCGAAGGGUGGCUCUGACUUCCUUGGGUUCGAUCCCCAAAACCUCCGGAGGGUUAGUUACACCGGUCGGACGGUGAGCGAUCGCAAUGACGACCCGAUCCGUGUGUGUAGCUAGGUAGCGGACGCUCUCACUACGCUUACCUGGUGAUAAAUUAAUUUGAGGUAAGGUCGUGUAGUGGGUCUAUGGGACCGGCCAUCAGGUAAUACUUGGAUUUGGCGCCGUAUUAAUUUAAGC